rnacentral:tRNA from 1 species
AAAAUAGAGUAGAUUUGACUUCGAAUCAAAUAAUGAUUUAUAAUCCUGUUUUA